rnacentral:rRNA from 1 species
AUUGAACGCUGGCGGCAGGCUUAACACAUGCAAGUCGAGCGGGGUGAUGGUGCUUGCACUAUCACUUAGCGGCGGACGGGUGAGUAAUGCUUAGGAAUCUGCCUAUUAGUGGGGGACAACAUCUCGAAAGGGAUGCUAAUACCGCAUACGUCCUACGGGAGAAAGCAGGGGAUCACUUGUGACCUUGCGCUAAUAGAUGAGCCUACGUCGGAUUAGCUAGUUGGUGGGGUAAAGGCCUACCAAGGCGACGAUCUGUAGCGGGUCUGAGAGGAUGAGCCACCACACUGGGACUGAGACACGGGCCAGACUCCUACGGGAGGCAGCAGUGGGGAAUAUUGGACAAUGGGGGGAACCCUGAUCCAGCCAUGCCGCGUGUGUGAAGAAGGCCUUAUGGUUGUAAAGCACUUUAAGCGAGGAGGAGGCUCUUUUGGUUAAUACCCAAGAUGAGUGGACGUUACUCGCAGAAUAAGCACCGGCUAACUCUGUGCCAGCCGCCGCUGUAA